rnacentral:rRNA from 1 species
GACGAACGCUGGCGGCGUGCUUAACACAUGCAAGUCGAACGAAGAGCGAUGGAAGCUUGCUUCUAUCAAUCUUAGUGGCGAACGGGUGAGUAACGCGUAAUCAACCUGCCCUUCAGAGGGGGACAACAGUUGGAAACGACUGCUAAUACCGCAUACGAUCUAAUCUCGGCAUCGAGGAUAGAUGAAAGGUGGCCUCUACAUGUAAGCUAUCACUGAAGGAGGGGAUUGCGUCUGAUUAGCUAGUUGGAGGGGUAACGGCCCACCAAGGCGAUGAUCAGUAGCCGGUCUGAGAGGACGAACGGCCACAUUGGGACUGAGACACGGCCCAGACUCCUACGGGAGGCAGCAGUGGGGAAUCUUCCGCAAUGGACGAAAGUCUGACGGAGCAACGCCGCGUGAGUGAUGACGGCCUUCGGGUUGUAAAGCUCUGUUAAUCGGGACGAAAGGCCUUCUUGCGAAUAGUGAGAAGGAUUGACGGUACCGGAAUAGAAAGCCACGGCUAACUACGUG